AUUUUCUUAUUUGAGGCACUCUAUAUUCAUAUGAAGAAUUACUCUCCAAGUAAUACUGCCCCAUUUUACAGAUGAAGCAAUUCAGACAAUCGAAUGAUUUAUGCAUACAGAUAUACUUACCUGCAAGACAAAUAUUGUCUUCUCAUGACACUGUUCUAAUGAGAAGUUCAGAGAAGUUGCAGACAACUGCAAUAUGGUGAGUGUUGAGCUAAAAAUGUACAAGUCACAACUACCAAGUAAGGGGCAGAAAAAACAGACUGGAGGUUUGGGAAGAAGUAAAGUCAAGGAAGUCUUCCAGAAGCAAACAAAGUCUCAUUUCAGUUUCCACUCUCCUGGCUCUGAGAAUGUUAGUUUCUACUAAAUUAACUUAUUUUGUUUUCAGAAUAUACCAAGUUGAUUUGGGGCUUGAUAGCAUAAAAGCUGUAAAAUAGUAUCAUGUAAUUUUUAACCUCUAAAGUCAAAGUUUCUCACUCUGAUUCUUGUACCAACUGUGUCCCUUACCUGGGUGCUUGCUAAAAGCAUGGACUUAGGUAGAGGGAGAUGAAGGCUACCUUGGAUUUAUUUUUUCUAAAUCUCGUGGGGGUGAGGUCCAGGAAAAUUGCUGCUUUAAGUAUGAACUACCUGGAGAUUUUGAAGUCAAAUAUUUACUAGCAAAAUAAAAAGGAUAAUUUUCUUACUGGCUCCCAGUGAUUCCUGCUUCAAUAAGGGCUUUUUGUUUGUUUUUUGAUAGGGAUGGGAGAGAAUGUGUAUUUGGGGAAAUGUAUAAAUGGUAAAUGGGCUUCCCAUAUGGCUCAAUGGUAAGGAAUUCACCUGCCAAUGUAGGAGACCGGAGUUCCAACCCUGGAUCAGGAAGAUUCCCCUUGAAGAGGAAAUGGCAACCUGCUCCUCGCGGGGGCGGGCACAGUCCACGGGAUCGCAGAGUCAGACAGGGCUGAGUGACUGAGUCUGCACUUAUAAACAAUAAAUGGUAUAUGGGAAUAAGAGCAUCCCCCACCCCACCCCAAUCACCUACAAGGUGGNUGGGCUUAAAAGGCUCCAUGUUUGAUGACUUAUUGAACACAGGGGCAAAGGUAUUUAUAACGUCCAAAAGUUCUGAAAGUCCUUUCUCUGAACUUUAUGCUGCCAUCUUCCAGUGCCCGGCCAGCAGAAGCAGUCAUAAUGGAGUAGCUAGGAUGUGUGGACUUUAGAGAAAGGCUGAAAUCAAACCCCAGACCAUCAGCCUUGGAGAGGACCAAGUGCGUUAUANNNNNNNNNNNNNNNNNNNNNNNNNNNNNNAUACUUAACGUCCCAGCUUACUCCCAGUUGUUGGGAGUCUCAAUCGAGUUAACACAUAUAAAUGAAAUACAUCAUAAAUUACUUAGAACCCUAACACAUACAUGCAUGCCAUAACUGCCUAUUUAAAGUCAGGCAGUACUCUCUGCCCUUUAAUGUCUGCAAUAGGUCCCCUUAAUAGGGGGGACCUCUUCCGAGGUCAAAACCUCCUC
rnacentral:lncRNA from 1 species